GCAAGUCGGACGGUUCUAGCAAUAGGACAGUGGCGCACGGGUGAGUAACACGUAGCUAACCUGCCCUCAAGCGCGGGAUAACGUUCCGAAAGGAAUGCUAAUACCGCAUAAGCUCCCGAUCUGUAGAGGGUUGGGAGAAAAGGCGAAAGUCACUUGAGGAGGGGGCUGCGACCCAUCAGCUAGUUGGGGAGGUAACGGCUCACCAAGGCGACGACGGGUAGGGGGCCUGAGAGGGUGGCCCCCCACACUGGGACUGAGACACGGCCCAGACUCCUACGGGAGGCAGCAGUGAGGAAUAUUGCACAAUGGGGGAAACCCUGAUGCAGCGACGCCGCGUGGGUGAUGAAGGUUUUCGGAUCGUAAAGCCCUUUUCUGCAUGACGAGCAAAGGACGGUAGUGCAGGAAUAAGUGUCGGCUAACUACGUGCCAGCAGCCGCGGUAAAACGUAGGACACAAGCGUUAUCCGGAAUUACUGGGCGUAAAGGGAGUGCAGGCGGUUUCGUAAGUUAGGCGUGAAAGACUUCGGCUAAACCGGGGGAGGUCGUCUGAUACUGCGAAACUAGAGUAUGGUAGAGGCGUGUAGAAUUCCGGGUGUAGUGGUGAAAUGCGUAGAGAUCCGGAGGAAUACCAGUGGCGAAGGCGGCACGCUGGGCCAUAACUGACGCUAAGACUCGAAAGCAUGGGUAGCGAACGGGAUUAGAAACCCCGGUAGUCCAUGCCGUAAACGAUGUACACUGGGUGUUCAGUCGGGGAAGCCUGACGGGGUGCCAAGCAAACGCGCUAAGUGUACCGCC
rnacentral:rRNA from 1 species